rnacentral:rRNA from 1 species
UUCGACCUACGGGAGGCAGCAGUGGGGAAUAUUGCACAAUGGGGGGAACCCUGAUGCAGCGACGCCGCGUGGGUGAAGAAGUCAUUCGUGACGUAAAGCCCUAUCAGCAGGGAAGAAAAUGACGGUACCUGACUAAGAAGCCCCGGCUAACUACGUGCCAGCAGCCGCGGUAAUACGUAGGGGGCAAGCGUUAUCCGGAUUUACUGGGUGUAAAGGGAGCGUAGACGGCAGUGCAAGUCCGGAGUGAAAGCCCGGGGCUCAACCCUGGGACUGCUCUGGAAACUGUAAAGCUGGAGUGCGGGAGG